rnacentral:sRNA from 1 species
AGUGCAGCCCUGGUGACGCCUCCUGUGGCUCAGUCACAUAGCUGUGUGGUACGUGACUGGAGGCAUAUCACUGUCCUCGCCUGGAUCACGCCAAUGUGACCCCAACCCCACCACCCUCCCCACCCCAUGAUGUCCGAAAAAACCCAACAAAGAAAAUUGGCUGGGACCAAGGAAAAGUUCCCAGACUAUCAUCAGUGGAACAGUGCUGGUGUUGGUACUGGAGCAACCGACACCAAAAAGAAGAAAAUAAAUAAUGGCACUAACCCUGAGACAACCACUUCUGGGGGUUGCCAUUCACCUGAGGAUAAACAACAGAACCGAGCUCAGCUGAAAGAGGAAAAUAAGGCAAGCCACCAACAUCAGCAAGCCCUAAGGAGGCAGCUAGAGGCCCAGGAUCAUACCAUACGAAUCCUUAUGUGUCAGAAAACUGAACUGGAAACAGCGCUCCAUUACAGCCAGGAUAUUGCCAGGAAAUUUGAAGAAGAUUCCAAGGAUCUGGCAGGCCGCCUGCAUCAUUCCUGGCACUUUGCAGGAGAGUUACAGCGGGCUCUCUCCGCAGAGCACGAGAGGGCGGACAGGGUGAGUCCAAUCACCUACCCGGUCCCCUGGGAGCCCAGCUUCGCAGAUGGAGGAAUGAGCCUAAAGGUCCCUUCUGCAGGAUGCAGUGUCCUGCCCAAAAGACAGCAUGGGCCAUUUCUUGCUGCUUUUGUGCGUGGUUGUUAGAGGCAGGUUGGGGCUGAGUCAGCUGCUGUGGGUGAGUUGCGGGGCGCUGUGGGGAGCGAGCACUGGACACAGAGCUCGGAGGCCAAGUGCCCACCCCACCCAUACUUGGCUGUGGCCUUGGUCAAAUCCUAGGCGGAGUUGAGGGUACUUGUACCAUGAAGGUACAGAAGAGUAUCUUUAGUAUGUUACCAUUUGUGUAGAGAGAGGGAACACAUGUACAUGUACGUGUGUGUGUGUGUGUGUGUGUACGUACGUAUUAUGGUAAUAUACAUAAAACAUGUUUGUAAGGAUUCAUUAAAAACUCAGGAGAGAGGAACAGUGUUGGGGGAAGAUAUUUCCCUUCUGUACCUUCUGAGGUUUGGACUAUGCCAAUGUAUCAUUCUUUCAAAAAUCAACAAAGGAUUAAUUUCCU